rnacentral:rRNA from 1 species
AUUGAACGCUGGCGGCAGGCCUAACACAUGCAAGUCGAACGCGUGGGGGAGGGGUGAGUAGUGUCGGGGACAGUGCCUGGGGGGGGGGGAAAACUACUGGAAAGUAUCGAUAAUACCGCAUACCAGAGGAUGCCCCCAGAGGGGAUUAGCUAGUAGGUGGGAGAACGGCUCACCUAGGCGACGAUCCCUAGCUGGUCUGAGAGGAUGACCAGCCACACUGGAACUGAGACACGGUCCAGACUCCUACGGGAGGCAGCAGUGGGGAAUAUUGCACAAUGGGCGCAAGCCUGAUGCAGCCAUGCCGCGUGUGUGAAGAAGGCCUUCGGGUUGUAAAGCACUUUCAGCGGGGAGGCGUUACCCGCAGAAGAAGCACCGGCUAACUCCGUGCCAGCAGCCGCGGUAAUAC